UGGAGGAAGCCGCGCAAUCACUCCGGGGGCGGGGAGUGAAAGACAGCUGAGAGGAAGGAGGUACCACGGGCGCUCUCUCGCGAGAGGGCCGCAGAGUCGCCUCUGACAGGGGCGUGUGCCUGGCGAGCGACGCUCUUGACAAAAUUCUCAGGGAAAACUGUGUUCAGCUCUGGAUGUCUCCCUUUUCGUGGAUCAAACACAAAGGGCAUCAUUUUAAAAUAUAUACGGAACCAUAAAAGCCCCAAAUAGCCAAAACAACCCUGGGCAAAAAGAACAAAGCUGGAAGCAUCAUACUACCAGACUUCAAAAUUUACUACAAAGCUUUAAUACCUCAAACAACAUGGUGCUGGAAUUAAAAAAAAAAAAAAAAANAAAAAAAAAAAAAAAAAUAGACACAUAGACCAAUGAAACAGAAUAGAGAAUCCGGAUAUACCAACUCAUCUUUAACAAAGGUGCCAAGAACAUAGAAUGGGGAAAGGAUGACCUUUUCAAUAAAUGAUGUGGGGAAACUGGAUAACUAUAUGCAGAAGAAUGAAACAAGAUUCCUCUCUCUCACCAUACACAAAAAUCAAAUCAAAAUGGAUUAAAGGUCUAAAUCUAAGACCUGAAACUAUGAAACCAGUAGAAGAAUACACUGGGGAAGUGCUCCAGGACCUUGGUCUUGGCAAAAGAUUAUUUUUGUGCAAGACCUCAAAAGCACAGACAACAAAGCAAAAAUAGACAAAUGAGAUUACAUUAAGCUAAAAAGUUUCUGCACAGCAGAGAAAACAAUCAACAGAGUUGGGGAGACAACCCAUGGAAUGGGAGAAAAUAUUUUCAAACUUUCCAUCCAACAAGGGAUUCAUGACCAGAAUAAACAAAGAGCUCAAACAAUUUAAUAAAAGAAAAAAAAAAAAAAAACCCACAAAACCCAAAAAACAAAUAAUCUAAAAAGUGGGCAAAAGAUCUGAACAAACAUUUCUCAGAGGAAGACAAAAAUGGCCAACAGAUA